AGCCGGAGGAGCGUGAGGAGCUAGCCGCCGGGGAUUACCGACCGUAUUCCGACCUGAGGUUGGCUGGGUCCGGCCGCCGCGGAGGAGGCUCCGCGCGGAGAGGCGGUGUCCCGCCCGCAGGCUCCGGGUCUCUCGGAGCUGGUCCUCCACGCCGGCUUCCUGCCGCUCUGUUUUCUGAGGUUUUCCCCAGAAGCGCGGCGCAGGUCGUUGACCGCCAGGCAAGGACUUGGCCCCUGGGGGGCAGGGUGACGUGCAUUUGAAACACUGCAGCUCGGACGGAGCAAAUGCUUCACCCAGAACUUCCAAAGGCCUGAUUUCCCAGAGGAGUUUGCCUGGAGGAGGGCGGGGAUGACCCCGAGUUGUGGGCCAGGAGGUGAGGAAUUCAGAAAGGGCUCAGCUGGAUGGUUUGUCUUUCCUUCUCUGCCAAGCCGGCUUCAUCACUCACAUGACAAGGCCUUAGCACUUCUUGACCUCUCUCUGCAAAUGAUGUCAUAUCCUCCAGGGCUCCCCCACAUGGUUUGGGCUUCUCACAACAGGUCAUUGCAGUUCAGAUGAGGAAACUGAGGAGCUGAGAGGUCAGGCAACUUGUCAGAGGUCAUGCGGCAGAAGGUCUGUGCCACCAAUCAAAUCCAUCACCAGUCCCGUUGAAGAACUCAGAUAUAUGAAAAUGCUGAAAACCUCCAGAGUCCCUCUGGGCCUCCAGAAACAGGUUGGAAGGACUUCUGAUUUCCAGUUGGCACACGGUCACCAGGAAGAAUGACCAAGAAACUGAAAGAUCAUCCUUGCAGCUAGGUGUGGCCAUUUGAUUAAAAUCUGGCCAAUGAGAGGUCGGCAGAAGUGCAACCUCCAGGAAGUGUCUCUGAAGGGAAGGUGUGUGUCCUUAUGACCGCAUCUCCCUUCCCAGCAGUUAGAGUACAAGUGAUGCGACAGGAGCUGAGUUGCUUGGAAAUCAUGAAGUAGGAGUCAAGUGAUAAGAUGGCAGAACAGUAAGAGAGGAGGAGGUCCUAAGUGACCUUGGAGCUGCUGUAAUAGGGAUGGACUCUACUGCUGGACUUGACUCACAUGAGAGAAAACUAGUGUCACUGUUAUCUUGGCCUAACUCCCCUGGGGCCUAGAUUUUGGCCUCUGAUGAACUCUCCUGACACCAUGGCCUCUUGUCAGUCACACUCAAAUCUAAUCCUACAACAUCUAAGAUAAACUUUGCCAUACUUGCGACUUCAAUCACCCACUGUCUAGAUGACCAUGAUCUUCAGAUUUGCUCCAGCUCAGUUCUGGUAGUUCACUGGACCUCUCACACAGUUGCCAUCCUCUCCCCAACCUGUCUUUCCCCCCAGGGCUCCCCAUCUCAGGAAAGGGUGCCUCCAUAGCCCAACACCCUGUAAGUCAUCGAUUUCCCUCCCUCCCACUCCAGCCUUCCACAUCCACGAGACCCCAAACCCCCCAUUCUACCUCCUAGAAAGAUUCUACUCCUCUACUCUACUUCCCGUGGCACGGUCCCAGCUCAAGCCCUGACCCCUCUACACCUUGUCCAUUGCCACCUCCUAAUUGGUCUCCCUGCCUCCAGUCUCCACCCCACAGCCUUUGUCUGCCCUCUUUAAAACCCACCCAUGACUCCCCUUGGUCUCUAGGACAAAGUCCAAGCUUUCCGAGUGAACAUCACAACCUUCUGCCUUCUGCACCGCCCCCAUCUCCCAGGCCUCCACCCCUCCCUCAGCACCUCCUCCUACAGGAUACUACACAAAGAAUUUGCUUUAGCAAAGGCUAUUUUCCUUCUGUCCACCUGCUAUUCCCUGUCUCAAAUGCCCUCCCCAAUUCCUCUGUUUGGUAUUACUCUUCCUUCAAGGUGCAGACAAAAGUCACCUCCAUGAGGACUUGUCUGAUUCCCUCAGCAAGAGAAGCCUGUUGAGCUCUUUUCUGUGCUGCCACAGAAUGUGCCCAUCUAACAAAGCUUAUCCCACUAUGCUCACCGAGGGGGGGCUGUCAGUCUGUCUGUCUGUCUCCCCUGACUGGCAGCGAGCAACCUGGGGAAGGAUCCCAUUUUCUUGGAAUCCAUAGCACCUAAUCUAAAGUAGGUGCCCAACACACAAUACUGUUACCCAUUUACUAAGCCCCUACUAUGUGUCAGGCCCUGAGCUGGAUGCUUUAUAUAAAUUGUCUAGUUUUAUCCUCAAAAUCACCCUGCUGGGAGAGAUGAGACUGAGAUUCAGAGAGGCUGAGCAGCUGCUUCAGGUCACACUAAUCGUGCACAGCAGUGUCAGAGACCGAUUCGCCAGCUGCCAUACUUGGUUCUCCAUUGGCCUAGGGCUUCACCCCCCUGCCAACCCCAGAUGUGGUCUCCAGGGAAGCACCAAACCCCACAGCU